UAGGGAAUCUUCCGCAAUGGGCGAAAGCCUGACGGAGCAACGCCGCGUGAGUGAUGAAAGUCUUCGGAUCGUAAAACUCUGUUAUUAGGGAAGAACAAACGUGUAAGUAACUGUGCACGUCUUGACGGUACCUAAUCAGAAAGCCACGGCUAACUACGUGCCAGCAGCCGCGGUAAUACGUAGGUGGCAAGCGUUAUCCGGAAUUAUUGGGCGUAAAGCGCGCGUAGGCGGUUUUUUAAGUCUGAUGUGAAAGCCCACGGCUCAACCGUGGAGGGUCAUUGGAAACUGGAAAACUUGAGUGCAGAAGAGGAAAGUGGAAUUCCAUGUGUAGCGGUGAUAUGCGCAGAGAUAUGGAGGAACACCAGUGGCGAAGGCGACUUUCUGGUCUGUAACUGACGCUGAUGUGCGAAAGCGUGGGGAUCAAACAGGAUUAGAUACCCUGGUAGUCCACGCCGUAAACGAUGAGUGCUAAGUGUUAGGGGGUUCCGGCCCUUAGUGCUGCAGCUAACGCAUUAAGCACUCCGCCUGGGGAGUACGACCGCCAGGGUUGAAACUCAAAGGAAUUGACCGGGGACCGCACUAGCGGUGGAGCAUGUGGUUUAUUCGAACAACGCGAAGACCUUACCAAUCUUGAAUCCUUUGACCUUCUAGAAUAGAAGUUCCCUUCGGGGACAAAUGACAGUGGGCAUGGUGUCGUCACUCGGGCGGGAAUGUGGGUUAGUCCGCACGAGGCAACCUUAAGUUAGUGCAUCUUUAGUGGGCCUCUAGUUGAUGCGGUGAAAACGGAGAAGUGGGAUGACGCAAUCAUCUGCCCUUUG
rnacentral:rRNA from 1 species